GUGCUCACUUCAGCAGCACAUUUGCAAAAACUGGAAUGAUACAGAAAAGAUUGGCAUAUCCUACUCAGAGAUGGCAUGCAAAUUUGUGACUUAUUCCAUAUUAAA